rnacentral:tRNA from 1 species
GGGCCCAUGGUCUAGCGGUUACGGCAAGGCGAAAAGCGCCCUGCCGCCGUCAAUGACGUCUGCUUGACACGCAGAAGUUCGCCGGUUCGAAUCCGGCUGGGCCCA